UACGUAGGGGGCAAGCGUUGUCCGGAAUUAUUGGGCGUAAAGAGCGUGUAGGCGGUCCGGUAAGUCAGCUGUGAAAGUCAAGGGCUCAACCCUUGAAUGCCGGUUGAUACUGCCGGACUAGAGUUCGGAAGAGGCGAGUGGAAUUCCCGGUGUAGCGGUGAAAUGCGCAGAUAUCGGGAGGAACACCUAUGGCGAAGGCAGCUCGCUGGGACGUUACUGACGCUGAGACGCGAAAGCGUGGGGAGCAAACAGG
rnacentral:rRNA from 1 species